rnacentral:rRNA from 1 species
AAAUUGAAGAGUUUGAUCAUGGCUCAGAUUGAACGCUGGCGGCAGGCCUAACACAUGCAAGUCGAGCGGUAGCACAGAGAGCUUGCUCUCGGGUGGCGAGCGGCGGACGGGUGAGUAAUGUCUGGGAAACUGCCUGAUGGAGGGGGAUAACUACUGGAAACGGUAGCUAAUACCGCAUAACGUCGCAAGACCAAAGUGGGGGACCUUCGGGCCUCAUGCCAUCAGAUGUGCCCAGAUGGGAUUAGCUAGUAGGUGGGGUAACGGCUCACCUAGGCGACGAUCCCUAGCUGGUCUGAGAGGAUGACCAGCCACACUGGAACUGAGACACGGUCCAGACUCCUACGGGAGGCAGCAGUGGGGAAUAUUGCACAAUGGGCGCAAGCCUGAUGCAGCCAUGCCGCGUGUGUGAAGAAGGCCUUCGGGUUGUAAAGCACUUUCAGCGGGGAGGAAGGCGUUAAGGUUAAUAACCUUGGCGAUUGACGUUACCCGCAGAAGAAGCACCGGCUAACUCCGUGCCAGCAGCCGCGGUAAUACGGAGGGUGCAAGCGUUAAUCGGAAUUACUGGGCGUAAAGCGCACGCAGGCGGUCUGUCAAGUCGGAUGUGAAAUCCCCGGGCUCAACCUGGGAACUGCAUUCGAAACUGGCAGGCUAGAGUCUUGUAGAGGGGGGUAGAAUUCCAGGUGUAGCGGUGAAAUGCGUAGAGAUCUGGAGGAAUACCGGUGGCGAAGGCGGCCCCCUGGACAAAGACUGACGCUCAGGUGCGAAAGCGUGGGGAGCAAACAGGAUUAGAUACCCUGGUAGUCCACGCCGUAAACGAUGUCGAUUUGGAGGUUGUGCCCUUGAGGCGUGGCUUCCGGAGCUAACGCGUUAAAUCGACCGCCUGGGGAGUACGGCCGCAAGGUUAAAACUCAAAUGAAUUGACGGGGGCCCGCACAAGCGGUGGAGCAUGUGGUUUAAUUCGAUGCAACGCGAAGAACCUUACCUGGUCUUGACAUCCACAGAACUUUCCAGAGAUGGAUUGGUGCCUUCGGGAACUGUGAGACAGGUGCUGCAUGGCUGUCGUCAGCUCGUGUUGUGAAAUGUUGGGUUAAGUCCCGCAACGAGCGCAACCC